CAUGCCNGAAAAGCGUGGGUAGCAAACAGGAUUAGAUACCCUGGUAGUCCACGCCCUAAACGAUGUCGAUUAGCUGUUGGGCAGCAUGACUGCUUAGUAGCGAAGCUAACGCGUGAAAUCGACCGCCUGGGGAGUACGGUCGCAAGAUUAAAACUCAAAGGAAUUGACGGGGACCCGCACAAGCGGUGGAUGAUGUGGAUUAAUUCGAUGCAACGCGAAGGACCUUACCUGGUCUUGACAUGUACGGAACCCUCCAGAGACGGAGGGGUGCCUUCGGGAGCCGUAACACAGGUGCUGCAUGGCUGUCGUCAGCUCGUGUCGUGAGAUGUUGGGUUAAGUCCCGCAACGAGCGCAACCCUUGUCAUUAGUUGCCAUCAUUAAGUUGGGCACUCUAAUGAGACUGCCGGUGACAAGCCGGAGGAAGGUGGGGAUGACGUCAAGUCCUCAUGGCCCUUAUGACCAGGGCUUCACACGUCAUACAAUGGUCGGUACAGAGGGUAGCCAAGCCGCGAGGUGGAGCCAAUCUCACAAAACCGAUCGUAGUCCGGAUUGCACUCUGCAACUCGAGUGCAUGAAGUCGGAAUCGCUAGUAAUCGCAGGUCAGCAUACUGCGGUGAAUACGUUCCCGGGUCUUGUAC
rnacentral:rRNA from 1 species